UAUUGCGCAAUGGGGGGCAACCCUGACGCAGCCAUGCCGCGUGAAUGAAGAAGGCCUUCGGGUUGUAAAGUUCUUUCGGUGAUGAGGAACCCCGGAUGUUUAAAUAGGGCAUUCAAUUGACGUUAAUCACAGAAGAAGCACCGGCUAACUCCGUGCCAGCAGCCGCGGUAAUACGGAGGGUGCGAGCGUUAAUCGGAAUAACUGGGCGUAAAGGGCACGCAGGCGGAUAAUUAAGUGAGAUGUGAAAUCCCCGAGCUUAACUUGGGAAUUGCAUUUCAUACUGGUUAUCUAGAGUCUUGUAGAGAGGGGUAGAAUUCCACGUGUAGCGGUGAAAUGCGUAGAGAUGGGAGGAAUACCGGAGUCGAAGGCGGCCCCUGGAUUUACUACGUCAUUGCGAAA
rnacentral:rRNA from 1 species